CUUUUAAUUUCCAGUAGGGUUUCAUCGCCUCCCGCACCUCCCCUCCUCCACCUCCCAUGACGCGAACUCUUUAAGAGAUCGGGCCAGUUGGCUUUGAGACUGUUCCUCCCUCUGAGUUUAGCCCGUGGUUCCCAAGGGUCCCUCUCUCCCAUCUAUUUCUGGAAAUUAAGUCUACAGGAUUGAUUAGACUUGAUUGAUUAGAAGCCUUCGUAGGUGGGGACCCAGGAUGCUUGGCUGCCCCCCCAGCACCAGGGAUGAUGCCGAGACGUGUGGCUGGGUCAAGAACCUUCAUGUAUCAUUUCGAAAUCUACGUGUGAGCAUAAUGACUUCGCACAAUGGAUAUUGUCGUUUUGCAGACGCUGAAACCCCACCAGGUGGAAGAAGUUAACUGCCGGCUGCCCAGCAGAGACCCCUGACUGGUUGGAACCAGAAGGUUGAUGAGGCUGACUCCCCACGACCUCACCACCAGCCAAUCAGAAGAGUGUCCACGAGCUGAUCACGCCCUGCUCCUUGAAAACUCUAAGACUCCGCACUGCUCCGUCCAGGGCAAGACAUAGUCUUGGGGGCACUAGCCUGCUGUGGCGCCCUUUGCCUGGCAAAGCCAUAAAGCUGUUCUUUUCUAAUUUCCCCAGAACUCUGUCUCCGUGAUUCAAUUCCUUGCUGGUGCACAGAGGCCGAGUUUCGGCAGCAAGACGACAGAGUAAUUUGAGAUUGAUUCUAAUUGGGAGAAUCCCAGGAAGGUUUUUGCAGGAAGGGCCUUUCGAGAUGGGUGUGGAAGUAGGAGUAGGAGUUUGAGCAGCUGACGUUGACAAAGGCCUUUGAGGCUGAGGAGAACACAAGAGUGAGAACCGGGCAGUGUCUGGCCUGUCUGGGGAGUGGAGUGUGUGGCCUGCCCGGAAGGAGAGCCAGAGGUUCAGUUAAAAAGGGGAGCGGGCCUCAGAGAGAAAAUGGUUUUGAGUGCUGGGUGGGGUGCUUGGAUCUUAUUCCAAAGGCAUCUCAGUCACGGAAAAAACUUGGGAAGAAUAUAACCAGACCCGACGUACUUAAGGGAAGGCUGCGGAUUAUUCCCUGUAAAGGGGUGAAAGGGGGUCUUGGAGGGACCCUUCUCCACACCUCCUCCUCUCCAGCGCCUCUGCCUCCUCUGCCCCCAGGAAACGCCUGAACUUGCGUGGCUGCCCCCACAAGGUUUUGCACUCCAAGACUUCUAAGGAGAAGGAUGCUUUUCCGGGCUCAGGAUAAGGGAAAGAAGAUGUGAACACUAGGGACCUGGGAGAUGGACAUCCUUGAAAGGAGGCAGCAUAAAUGGCUCCAUCACACACAGCAAGAGUCCAGAGCUGCGCUGUCCAAUAAACGCAUCUAAAAAUCUAGUUUCUCUAUCACGCAUGCACAUUUCAAGCGCUCAGUAGCCAUGUGGAGUGGUUGAUGGCUGCCAUAUUGGACAUUCUGCCGAUCUAGAACAUUCCACCAUCACAGGAGGUUCUACUGGCUAGUGCUGCUAUGGAAGAUAACAAAAUGCACAUACACAAAUAUCUCAUUUUGAUCUUUGGGACUCCAUUAUUGAUCCUGUUGGUGACUUGAUCUAAGCUGUGCAGCCUCUGGAUGGCAGAAGCAAAAGGGGGGCCCCUUGGAUUCCCGGUCCAGUGUCCCAUGUUCCGGUCCUCUUACCUGAGGUCACACAGAGCAUGGAGGGCAGGUGCAGCAUGAUGAGGGGGAGAGAGUUGAUUAUAAAGGCUGCUGGCCCCACUGUAUUUCCCAGGAUUUCUUUUUUUAAAUGAUUAGGAUUUGCUCUUAUUUCCUGUGUGUUCUGCUAACAUUUUCUGCCUAGUGGUUUAUUAAAUGUA